ensembl:lncRNA novel transcript, antisense to ITGB3
UCUGAGGAAGAUGAAAGUCUCCCGUGCACCCAGCUCUGGCUGAGGACGGAAUGACCUGGGGAGAACUUGGGCACUUCAGGUUUUGUGCCCAGACUCCUCCUGUUGUCCCUGCCCACCUCUCCUACCCCUUCCUCCUCUGGAAGCAGUCUUUCUCUUGCUCAAAAAAGCCCCAAUCCUAUCUCUGAUUCUAGCUGCCCACAAAGCCCCAGGGAGAAAACCUUCCCAAAAAGGCAGUGGAUAAAUCAGAAUGCAGUGAGGAGCGGAUCCUUUCCAGGACCAAGACAGAUGCUGAAGAAGACAGCAGGGACCGGAGCCCAGCAAACUGGAUGAGAGCAGCAAGGCCUUCAUGCAUCUUCAGGCUCCAUCAGCAGAGGGAGAGAAUGCAUUAGACGGGAGUUUCCUGACUCCUAUUUUCUAAUGUGGCAGUCCUAAUGAGAAGAGGGUUUGAAGCGCUAAGAUGUGCUGACAGUCCUAAUGGUUUGUUAUGAGUUUCCUUAGAAAAAUUAAACACUGAAAAACAAA